GGUAGUGCCUGUUCUGGUAAAGAUUCAGAUAUAAGGUGAAAUCUAAACAUCUCCUUAACUUCCAUGAAUUACUCCUGCACUUCAUGCAAUCUCUUUAGUGGGGCCUGGGGCAACAUACAAUAUUGCUGCUGCUGUGCCAGAAGCAUGGAUAUGGCUGACCUGGAGAGCCCUGUAGGAUAGAAGAAUUCAGCAGUGGGAGAUCAGUCCCAGGCCUACUUGAUCUUGUCCAUUUGGCACUGCUGGAGGAAUAACAAGUUUCUUCCCAUCGUGCACCAUUCUGGGAUACAUCAUGACAGAGAAAUCUCAAAGCCCAGGUCAAUUAUAACAGAAGAUGUGUAGCACCUCUGCCCCCACAGAGUCUUCUGGGGAUCCACUUGGCAAAAUGAUAUAAAACUAUUUCCGAAGACUUCCCGUGAUCUGGCCCUGCUUAGAACUAAGUCACCAGCAAAAUGUAAGGAAAUAAGCAUAUGCACCACUGCUUACCUUCCCCCUUGUUUGCCAUAGAGCUAAGGUGACAUGUGUGAAGAGAGGCCUGGAGUUGGCAGAUUCCUCACUAUCCAGAAGUGGAGUGGCUUUGGUGGAAAGGAUCGGACAUGUCUUUUGCACAACCCCACUCUGGAUAGCCUAUGGGCUGCAGAAGAUAAGAGGUGUCCCUUCAAGUUCCCAUAGGCAGAACAGAGGACAAACUCACAGGUCCUGCCUUUCAGCAAGAGGAUAUGGUAUAAAACAGC